CAGACUCUGUUUGCAGCAUUUCAGUCACCUUCUUGUUUCUUGUUUGUGUCAAGCCAGGAACCAGGGAGAGGACCGAAACAGAGCAGAUUCAGUUAAACAGUUUUAAUGAAAAGAACAAGGCUAACUCGGGUUACAGGCAGACAGUGGUCACAACCAGGUGUGAGGCCUUAUGUCUGGUGUGAUGUGCCACCAACUCACUACAUGCCUGGAUGAUGGCAGCGAUAACUCCUGGGUGGAUGACAUAUGUACUGGAUUGUCUUGGGAUCGUAUUGCUGUCUACGUACAACAUUUGAGACAUUGCUGCAGAUGCUUUGCAGAAAUGGUUGAUGAACCCGUUUCUCAUUGCAACACUAAAGCAGAUAACUACAGUGGAUAAUAGGCUGAAUACUGUAGUUAAGGAUUCUCUCAACAUUUGCACGUAUAUCUACUGCCAUGUAUAAGAUGCUUUGGGAUGCUGUUAAUAAUGCAGUAUGUGACACUGAUAGAUUACUAUGGUGUCCUAGAUUUAAAAAGCAGACUGAAUGUCUUAGACAAGUGAUAGAGGAUUGGCAUGCUAUGGUAUAACUGAUUGCAGAUAAAUAUGCAGAUGUGAAAUCUACUCUAGUCAAGUAUUUUCCUUUGAAUGAUAAUGAAUUCCACAUGGGUCAUGUGUUUUCUUUUUGUACUUUUAGAACUGAUCUGUGUGUGUUGAUGUUAAACAGAAAGCAGCAUGUGGAUGUUGAUAAUAUAAUGCAAUGUUUAGUAGAAUCUUUGCUCAGUAAAAAUACAAAUGCCUGUA